CUGAAGCAACAACGGCGGUCUAAGAGCAGCAGCGGGAGAAAAAUCUCCCGCCUCUGGCUUAGAGUCGGCCAGGUGAGAGAGCUUUGGUUGUUUAUUGUCACGACACGGAAAACAUGGCAAACCUUCAGUGAACCUAAAUUGAGGUGAUCUGCACCGCUGUCGUAACUCAUCUGAGUGAAAAUCUGCUCUGCCAGGAUGGGGUAGCAUUUAGAGGUCUGUGUGGAGGUGCACAGACAUCAGGCAGAUGUUAUCUACGCAUUAGACCUCCAUGGAAAAUAGAAAAAGAAACUCCAUAUGGAAACGUGGGGUUAUUUUAUACAGUCAUAACUUAACUCAUAAUGCAUAGUCAUAACUCAAACUUAACUGAACUUUGAAGCUACAACUUAAUUCUAAGUCAUCAAAGCACAUUUAAAAGUAUCACUAGUUUUACUAAUGUAGAUUUAAAACUAGUUGUUAAGAAACUGAGGGACUCUAAUAAAUGGGUGCAAGUAAAGUGAGAAACAUAUGAUAGCUCAAAAUAUGCCAAUCCACAGGAAACUGAACUAACUACAUUUCAGGGGUCAGUCCUCUGCAGAGUGAACGGUAAACCAAAGUCUGGCUUGUAGAAAGGAUUUGGAUACCAUGGCAACUGAAACCUUUUGUAACUGUUGCCUCAUGUCCUUGGCUUUGAUGUUUAUUUGUGUGUCUCUGGAAAGAAAAUAUGAGGUUUCAUAGGUCAAGUUGGGAUGUAUUUGAGACCAAUUAAAACAGAGAAAUGUUGACUACUGACAGCUUUCCAGCAAUAUGCAUUAGUAGGCCCAUAUUAGUAACUAGUGGAGUGGGAUAUUCUCUAUGAACAAGCUUUUUCAUCAAUACUGGCAUUAAGCCCUCCGUUUCAGUGCUGUAUGAAGCUAAACUGCAAAGCAAAGACAUCCCUAAAUGGCCUCAUCUGGAUACUGGAUAUUCAACUGUGACGUGAUGCCAAUGGACUUGCAACACACCAUGCUAGAGAGCGCUGUGAGGACACCAUACAAGUCAUUCUGCUGAUAACAUAGCGAGGAUGCACAGAGCCUUGUCAGAACAACAACGCAGAACAGCUGUGGCGUGCUGCUAAAAUCUCCCUCCCUCCUCGGCUCACACCUGCUGAUCCAACAAGAGGCCAAAACUUAGGAUCAGGUCACGGCUUCCCCAGGGGCCCCCUCAUGUCCGAGACGGCCGACCUUUGGCACGUCGAAUGGAACGGAAGCGUCAGAGCAAAAAAAAAAAAAAAAAAUGCUGUCUGCUGUGUCCACAAGUACGUGCAGAGCUUCUCCUCGGCUCUCCACCCCUCCACUGCUGCAGACAAAUCAAUGGCCAAUAUCCGUGAAGAGGGGAGAAUUUGUGUCUUUUGUGUGUGUGUGUGUGUGUGUGUGUGUGUGUGUGUGUGUGUGUGUGUGCAAAUGUGUGAAUGAUGUAUGUCUAUAUCUGUGUGUGUAUGUGUGUUCUGAAUCUGUGUGUGUAUUGUUACGACCCUGUGGGUCUUGUUUAUUAUUUGUGUUUGUUACUUCUGUUGUGUGCUUCCAGGCAGAUUGGCUGCAGCUGAGGGGUGGUGUGAAACCCUAUGACGUCAGGGUAGCCCGGCCCUUUAAAAGGGGGCUGACGUCAUUGAUCUCUCGGUCAUGCUAGCUGUGGGGAUCGUUCGUUGCCACCGUCGCUGCCACACAUCGCUGCCACUAGGGCCAGCCUCGGGCCUUGCCCGUGCAACUUGCCGUCAUCUCUCUCACUUCCUGGGGUGAGAGACCAGGAGUGAGCGCCUGGCCGCCGAGGCCUACUUUGUAGGCCGUGUUUUUCUUAGUUUAGACAUUUUUCCAUACUGGUUUUUUUUGUAUUAAUAAAUACACCAUUUUAUUAAGUUUUGUGUCUG